rnacentral:lncRNA from 1 species
GCUUUUGAAUCUAUGAGGUCGGGCGGGACUGAGUGGUGCGUAAAGCUUUGCAAUGUCAAGGUUAUGGCCAAGGCUGCCCCAGGCUGGAGACACGGUGGCGUCGUAACCACCGGAACGUCUACUAACGAGAGAGCCAGAUGCGCAAUUGCACCAGUUGUAGUUUGUUACGAGUAGAGAGCACUGAGGCGCUUACGAAUUAGAAGGGUGUCGAAACGGCCCGGUUCAUCUCCUUUACCUCUGUUAGAUAGGGUCUGUACCGUUGUUCUGUGGUAUGAGACUGGUUGAAGUUGUGGGUUGUUGCUUGUAGUGGUGCGCGGCAGCUGGAAUGGUCACAGCCGCAACACGGUUGUUGAUGAUAAUUCUGGAAAUCUGUUCCUGAUCUAAACAGCCGUUCUGUUCCUGAUAGCGAAGCUCAAAGAAUUCUCCCCCCUCUCUCUGCGUAUACCUCCAGCAGUGAACGCUUUUUUACCCCUGAUGAAGAUCCAACUCCAUUUUUAGAUUUGGCAGUCUUCAGCGUGAAUCUCUCCCCUCUCUCCGUAGAGACCGAGCGGCAUAGAGGUGCGGCGCCCACCAGACGCUCCAGAUAAGAUCCAGCGCAGCGUAUUCAUGAACAUUUUGGCCAUUUCCUUUUCCACAUUAGGAGGCUGAACGACGGGAAGCUAUUCUCUCCAGCGUUGGCGUAUUCCCUGAAGCACUCAUUGCUUUUAAGCGACAAUCCUGAAAGUUGGUUCUGUCCGACAGCCUGUCUGACUUAUCUGAUACUGCUUCACGAAAGCCUCAGCCAAAUCCUCAGCAACGCAUGUGGCGCUCUGUCCCGCCUUAGUAUACCAUUAGGGAUGCCACCAUCCGCUAUCCUGAGAAGAAUACAUAGUAGCUCUCAGUCAUUCGACGUAUGCAACAUUUUACGGAAAUGAGCUGCGUAGUUUGGGGCAAGAGCUGCUGUAUUUGUCAAAGACCGGGACUGUGAUUCGGUGAGCACUCUUCCCCUGGACGGCGCGGCGGCGUGCACAUCUACCCUAGAGGAUCCUCUGUCCUUCCAACGCUUCGCCUCUUCCUGUCUUCUAAACACAGGACGGUCCAUGCCUGGCAUGCCAAAGUCUUCCUGAAGUUAGGGGGAUGAGGCCUGCGCGAUCAUGACACUGUUGAUCAGGUUGACAUUGGAUCCAGGGAAUAGGCCCAUGCCCGUCCAUUGGGACAUUGCGCUUCCAGACUGGAUCAUCCAAUGUCUCUGUUGAGUAGCGGCGGGAUUCCUCUGCAUCCAUCUGUCUACUGCGGCUUUCCCGAGCACCCCUUGACACCACUCCAUGAAUUGGGUCAUGGAUCUCUCAUCUCAGCGGCUUCUUGCUUCGUCAGCUCGUUCUCUCUGUUGUUCCUUCGGUAGCGGAAUCGGUGAAUGCGGUGUCAGUAUUCCUCUGAUGGAACACAAACAAUUGAGAACACUCGACCAGUACCUGUUAUGCAGACCAUGCUCAUGGAUAUGCAAAUGGUGCCCCGUAUGAACUGUUUAUCAUCAAAAGUAUCUACCUUGUUCCAAGUCUUUCAUCAGAUAAAAUAUCCCUUAAAAAGUACCAGAAAACCCCGGAGAGAGAAGAUGGGAUAUAAACCCACAGGAUUAUAAACAUGUGUUAAAUGUCAUUGAAUGCAAGAUGAUGUGAUGCCAUGAUCGUGAAUGCAUAUGUGGCAUGUAAAUCGGAUUGCAGGAUCCGCUUGAACAUCUGUUAGGUUGCAUGUCUGAGAGAAACCCACUUGAAUGGAAUAACAGAUCAAAGCUAUGCUGCUCCAGAAAAACCGGGUGGUUGGAGGUUAAGAUUUCCUGAUUUAGCCGCCCCUCACUGUAGGUUCUAGAACAGAAGUUCGUCAAGGCUUCCAGCCUCGUCGCCGAUAAUAGUUUACCAGCGUAUGUUGCAUUAUUACAGGACAAAAGACGCUCCACUUGAUCCCCUAACAGACAUCUAAAGCAUCUCCGCUCGGGUCCUCGGAUUGAGGCAGCGGAAUGCGCCCCACCAGAGCUACAUAAAUACGUCUCGGAGAGAGGCUCGACUGAGUUCUCGGGAAAUGGUCCCAAGGUCGACGAUUUCUAGGAGAAUCAUCCUACGUUACGCGAACACCCGUAGGACUAUAUAUCAACAGAAACCGUCGUCUGGGCUUGUUCUUCAACGAACACCUUAGCGUUGCAACACGCACGCAGCUCAUGAUUUCAUUUCUAAACCUGUGUGUACACUCAAGCUGGCGGUAAUGGGCUCUAUCUCUCAUAACACCCGGCAUCCCACAAACAAACAAACAGAUCCACAGCAUACAGCAGAUGAUGCAAGCAGGUAAGUAAAUAAUGUACAAAGCCACGAUGAACCACCCAUAAACAAGAAAUCGCAAAAGCCUAGGAGGGCUCGCCUAGGGCAGGGACCAGCAACCGCGAGCGUCACACUUCUAAUGUCCCCACAGGCGCCAUCUAUCGCAACCUAAAAAUAAAGUGUGCCGAAAACAAUCGGCGAAAGAAAUGACAGAAGCGGCCCGUGUCAUUAUGCAAAGAAGGAAAGGAACACCGCCAGUCGAGUAACCGACAAAGACUAAGGACAAAAGGGCCCCGGUCUCGCCAACCAAAUCUUGGGGUUCGGAGUCGGUUCAUGCGAAGACAGGUAUUAGCACGAGCAUCCGUAGUACUUACUGGAUCCACUUUUGUGUUCUUGAUCAAGGUGUGGAGUUGUUUGUGCUGUUUACAAAAACAACGGGUUAUAAUGAAAUGACUCGCCGCGGCUGUCGCAUCCACUGCUACGUAUCAUCAUCUUGAAUUGAGAAUCAGAGUCUCGCUAGUCGGACUAACUAUGGGUUGGGGGGGAUGUGUGCUCGCUAAGGACAUCCGUGUCUUAUGCCUACGUAUCUCAUCUGGAAUGAGAAUCAGGCAGUCGUAGUUCGGUACUACGGGGUUAUGGAGUGGGUUUUGACGAACGACGUUACUACGCAAUCUACGGUGCUGCUUGGAGCUUACUCACCGGUGUAGAAGAUACAACGUGUGUUUCGGAGAAGAAAAAUCAAUGAAGGGUAGGUUAGUAACCUCCAUGCAAAAGAUCCUUGACGAAGAACCCGUAAAAAACAAAACACAAAAAUUGCUUCCCUUCGAGGCUCUUCCAGUAGCGAAGCUCAAUACUGCGCGAAGAAAAUGGAAAGUACCCGCAGAUAAAGAUCCGAAUAAACCAAUAGUUAGGCGAUGGAAACUCAGUGAUCCUUCCAAGCUAAACACAUCAAGAAAGUGAUCCGAUCAGUACAAUCGGAAACCUCAAGUCUAUCCCACAAAUAAAGGAAAAACCACCACGCUUAUCCCCUGAAAAGUAUGUGAGCCCUCACAAACUCAACAACGGUUAGAGACAAUAAAAAAACGAGGAGAAUCAAGAGGUUGCCCCCCUAAAUCAAAUUUAACCACAGAAUACACAUCUAAAUGUCACAAAAAGCAUGCCUACACAAGGGUAUCAAAUAUCAGUACCAAACACCCUCAUCACAUUUAGGCAUUCAAAGUUUAAAGGCUAACGAUGAUGGAUUAGGGCAACCUAAUUGGAGAGACUUGAUUGGAAUAGUUGCACCCGUGAGUUUCACAAACAUCUUUUAGGUUUAUGCGAAGCAAGCUGAUUUCUGUGAGUUGAGUUCCCUCAGGGUUGGAGGUGCUCUAACUCUUUAGUCUCUUUCUUCUCUCAUAUUCUUUUCCUCAGGCGUAAUAGGAAUGCAUCCAUGUUUGUUUCACUGAAACUCUAGUAUUUAUAGCCUAAUAUUGGUAGCUUAGUGGGCUUUUGAGAGAGGUCCAAGUCUGAGAUUUUUUUCUUUUAUUUAUUUAUUUAUUAUUAUUUUUAUUUACUUAUUUAUUUAUUUAUUCGUUUUUUUUUUAUAAAUAAAGCUUCUUGGAUCUAAAUCUGAUUGACAUGAUGAAAUACAAUGUAUCUAAUGUUAAAUGACCUAAAAAUGAAUGCAUGCAUGAGGUGUAAAGCGUAUGCUUUCAAGAAAAAUGAAGGGUAAAUUUUGGGGUAUUACACCUUGGUCUUGAACAGUUUUGACACCAUGAUGAUGGUUUGCAAAACCCUGUUUUCUACUUUCCCGCCUGUCGGGCUCUAUGCUGAUUCUUAUCUCUGGAAGAAUAGAAACCUCUGACUUUUUCAUAUAAUGAUUAUUGAGAUGCCUCACAUCUUGUGAAUCAGGUGCAUUAUUGUAAGCUAAACAAGCUUUCCUUUGACAUUUCAAAAAAUCAAACAAUUUAAAGUUUUAAUGUUUUUAUCUUAUCAAAAAUAAAAGUAACAUUAAGUAAACAAGCAGGAAAAACAAAAUCAUCAAUAAAUAAACAUUUAACUGAACCGUUUUAUUUGACGAUAAGAAUAACUCAUAUAGUGGAUAACAAUACAUGAAGGUGGAGAGCAAUUUUAGUACCCUAAUGGUUUUUUAGUGUGUAGCUUUUACAUCCAGUUUCGAUUCUGACUAUAUGACGUGUAACGUCAUCAGUUUCUGAACAUUGUGUUCCACAUUUCGUUUUUGCGCCAGUCAUGAGAAGUUCUGAAAAAUGUUCAAAGUUGUUGUUGCAGUGAUCUUUCUCCUUCUGUGUUGAUUCAAUCUUGAGAAGCUUUGUUAGAAGACGAUAUGUUGUUGCUACAACAUUCUUUUUGUUUGUCCUUCUAGACGUGACUCUAAUCGAUAAAGCUUUUGAAGAAUGGCAAGCUUAUGAAGUUGUGUUACUUAGUUGAAGAUUCUUAAGAUCUCAAGCCAGGUGUUGAUAUUAUCAAGGUUCUGACUGUAGACUCUAAAGACUUUGAAGAUUCUGAAGAUUUCAAGCUAGACUACUGACACUGUCAAGGUUCUGGUCUAAGAUUCUGAAGUUUCUGAAUCUAGCUUUAUGUUUCUUCAUUUCAUGCUUCAUCAACUUUCAUCAGAAUCUAAUGAACUUGAAGAUAAGAUCAAAUGGAUACAUGAUCAAAUAGUACAUAGUAUAAAUCAAAUAUUCUUUCCACUAACUGAUUAUGUGGGCAAGGAUAGUAAUAUACAUCACACCUGUCACUGAAUUUGUGGGUGAAUGACAAUAUGCAGUAUCAUUACUUUCACCAUCCAACAGUGAACAAUCGCUCUAUUUGGUUUCCCCAUUUUGUCCUCCAAAGGUCUUCUUCUUAUGCUAUAUAAGUGGAACUUGGAGACUUGAAGAAAAUACACAUAUAGAAGAAUACUGAAGCGCUGCAAAACUUGACAAAGUUUAUUUGUGAAAAGCUAUGAUUUUUCUAUACAGUUUUUCGUUAAGUAUUUAUUUAUCAUUUAUGUAAAAUCUGCUUGUGAAGAAGCAACUUGUAACACGCAAAAUAUUAUUCAAACUGUUUGUUUGAUUCCUUAAGGAGACUAGGGUAUAGUCGGAUUCUUAAGAAGACAAAUAAAGUUAUUUUUUGUGAUUCCUUAAGGAGACUAGGGUAUAGUCAAAUCUUUGAAAAGACAAAGAAGGUUAUUUGUUGUGAUUAUUGUAAUUCAUUGAUUAUAGUGGAUUAAGUCCUUGCGUAUAAGGAAAAAUCACCUUGGCGGGUGGACUGGAGUAGCUUUGAGUCUCAAGCAAACUAGGAUAAAAAUACUUGUGCUUUUAUCUCUUUGUUAUUAACAUUUUAGUGGUGUUCUUGAGUUGAGUAAAAGCUUUAGUUUUGAAAUCCCAAUUCAAAUCCCCCAUUAUUGUGUUUUUCACACCUUCAAUUGGUAUCAGAGUCUGGCUCUGAUUGCGAUAAAAGAUUUAUUAAACACUUCAUUGUAUUUGUCGCAACCUGAAAAAGAAGAUGCGAAAAAAUAACCGGCGAGAAAGAAAUGACAGAAGAGUCGCCACCGCGCGUUAUUCAUCCCAAAGAAGGGAAAGGAAACGCUCGAAGUAAACCUGGAAAAAGGAAAGGAAAAGACAAGGUCUCGCAACCAAAUCUUGGGUUCGGGAGCCGAUUAUGCAAAGGGAAGGUAUUAGCACCCCUACGCAUCCGUAGUACUCUACAGGAUCCACUUUUGUUGUUCUUGUCUAAAGGGUGCAUGUAUAUCUAAUGUACUACUUACUAAAAGGGGGGUCAAAAGAAAAUGACUCGCACGAAUGUCGCAUCCACUGCAUACGUAUCUCAUCUGAAUAUGAGAAUCAGAGUCUUCGUAGCUCGGCUACCUAGGGGUUAAAGAGGAGUGUGCUCGCUAAGACAUCGCGUCUUAUGCCUAUGUAUCUCAUCUGGAAUGAGAAUCAGAGCAAGCCGUAGUUCGGCUACCUACGAUUUAAGGGUUGUGUUUUUUAGAUGAACGACGUUACUACGCAAUCUACCGGAUGCUCGACCUUUGGAGACUUACUCGCCUGUAGUAGAAGGAGUUAACGUGUUCUUAGGAGAAGAAAAAUCAAUGAGUUUGUUUGUGUUUUAGGAACGCUCAUGCAAAAGGGAAGUCCUAGACGAAGGAACAUGCAUAAAGUAAAUACGCCAACAAGGGGCUCAAACAUACAUGGGUAGGGCUUUAGUCAAGAGGGGUCAUAUCAACCUUGACAGACAAGCCAUGGAAUAGGUAAUCAAACGGGCUCUUAACCACUGACAUUGAACGUCAGGGUGAGCAGAUCAAAAGGGUAAUGAGAAUAAGACCUCAUAGCUCUUAACCCUGGACAGGGUGAGCUCAUGACAAAAAGUGGGGAUUCAGAAAGGUGGAACCCUCUCCACUGACUGACCGGACAAAAGAUCUUGGACUUUUGCUCUGAAGCAUCGACACGUAGUGUGAUCUUAAAGAACGACACACUGAAUAACGGGGGAUUGACUACUAAUCCCUUUUAUCCGUCAAUUGCCUCGGAGGGAGGUCUUUAGCACUGAUGCCUCUUCUUGGCAGGUCUUUGGGCACAAAAGUAAACAAAUAAAAGAAAACAUUGCCUCCUAUUGAGGUCUUCCAGCUUAAGAAAGCGGUAAAAUGCGGAAAGAUAAAGGAUCAAGAAUCUACCACACGGAUAAAGAUCCGAAGUAAUACAGCUAAAGAAUAAGAAACCGAUAGAUCUCUCGAGCUGGCACCAUCAAAGAAAGCAAGUCAAUACAGGUAAUCGGUGAAUAAUCUCCAAAUGGUAUCCCACAAAUAAAGUGGAAUGCCAAGAAAGCUAUCCUUUCAGGAGUCAUGUGACGCCCUUCAACAAAAAACUCAACAUAACAAGUUAGAGUGACGAUGGGGAUGCAAUCAAGAGUUGGCCCCAAAUCAAAAAUGUAACCCAUGAAUCAUGCAUUGAAAAUUCACAAAAAGAGCUCAGACAAAAAGCAAACCAAGUGUAAAGGAGGCCUAAACUCAUUUGUCAAGCCACAAUGCAUCAAAGGGUAUCAAAAUUCAAAUAUAAAGUAGUGGAAAUCAGGCAUACCUGAUUGGGAGAGGAUCGAUUGAAAUUGAAUUGCACCGUUGCUUUGCAGAUAUAUCUUAGGUUUUAUAUGAGAAGAAUUGUUCUUUGGCAGAUAAGUUCCCUUCAGUCUCUGAGUUGCUCUGAACUCUGUUAGCUCUUCUCUCACUACUUUUUCCCAGGGUUUUUUUGGGAGAUGGAAGUCUAGAAUUUAAACCUGAUUUUGUGACUUUGUGGGCUCAAAAGAGAGGUCAAGUCCAAGAUUUUCUGUUAUAUUUUAUUAUUUAUUUAAUUUAUUUAUCGUUUUUUUUUCGUUUUUUUUCGAAACGCGUGGUUUCGCCUAGGGAGCAUGACAGUUCAUGAACAAACUUUUGCUCCUUCAAGAUUACGUUUUGACUGAUGAAUAGACGCCAUUUGAAAAUGUUGGAAGUAUCUCAAGUCUUCCUUGUGUUGACUGAUCACCAGAUAGGACCCACAAAGUGUCUUGGAUGAUAUUCAAGUUUCUUGGAUCUAAUUCCGAUUGACAUGAUGAAAUGCAAUAUGAAAUGUUAAAUGACCUAAAAAUGAAUGCAUGCAUGAGGGGGGAAAUUUUGAGGUAUUACAGUAUUCAGUACCAAUCCAAGUUUGUGUGAGAAACAAUGGUAGUUGCUAACGUUGUUAAUAACAAUGAGAGAGAUCAUUACAGUGUUAAACCACCAAUAUUUGAUGGCGAGAAAUUUGACUACUGGAAAGAUAGAAUUGAAAGUUAUCUUAUUGGAAACGAUGUUGAUCUCUGGGAUCUUGUAGUCGAUGGCUACGUUCACCCAGCUAAUGCUGAAGGAAAUAAUAUAGCAAGAAGUGCUAUGUCUGAUCAUCAAAAGAAAGAUUUCAAAAAUCAUCAUAAGGCCGGAGCUAUAUUGCUAAAUGUUAUCUCUUAUAUUGAUUAUGAGAAGAUAACAAAUAAAGAUUCUUCAAAAUCCAUAUUUGACUCUUUGAGGAUGACUCAUGAGGGGAAUGCUCAAGUAAAGAAGACAAAGGCCUUGGCCUUAAUCCAUAAGUACGAGGCAUUCAUAAUGGAGGAUGAUGAAACAAUUGAGACUAUGUUCUCAAGGUUUCAGAUGCUUGUUGCAGGACUGAAAGUUCUGGACAAAGGAUACUCUGCAGCUGACCAUGUCAAGAAGAUAAUCAGAAGUGUCCCUAAAAAAUGGAGACCUAUGGUAACUAUUUUAAAGCUAGCAUAGGAUCUUAAUGUAUCAGUCUUGAAGAAAUUGUUAGUUCUUUAAGAAACCACAAGAUUGAACUCGAGGAAGAUGAACCUCAGAAGCGAGGUAAAUCUGUUGCUUUAAAGUUUAAGCCUGAGAAGACAAGAGCUUAUCAAGAUGAGGAAGAAUCAAAAGGUUUUGAUGAAGACUCAGAAGAUGAUGAUGAACUGUCUCUGAUUUCAAAGAGGGUCAACAGACUCUGGAAGCACAUGCGUAAUGGUCAAGGAAAUUUCAAAGGAGCUAGAAGGAAUGUUGGCCGUUCUGAUUCUUCAUCUGGACAGAAGAAGCAAGGUUUUGGAAAAAGAAGUUAUCUGCUUUGAACGCAAGGAGCCAUGUCACUACAAAAAUGAAUGUCCUAAGCUGAAAAAGGACAUAAGGCCUAAGAAGACUUUUUCUGAAGGUAAGAAGGGGAUGAAGGCUAUAUGGGAUGACACAAAAUUUGAAGAAGAAGAUUUUGACAAAGAAAAAGCCAACGUUGCAUUGAUGACAACUAUAACUGAUCCAGAAGGUUCUGAAGAACCAGAAGACAAGAUGCCGACAAAAUCAAAAUCAGACUCCGAUUCUGAAGAGGUAUUUUCUGAACUAUCUCAUUCUGACUUAGAAUUAUGUCUCUUUGAAAUACUAUAAAAGUACCAGAGUAUUCAGAGUAAGUACAUUGACCUUAAACAAGUCCAAGUUGUUGCUUCUGAAACUCGGAGUGAGCUUGAGAAAGAUAUUUCCUCUCUAAAUGAAAAAGUAUUUUCUUUAGAAAGUAAUAACUCUGCUUUGAAAAGAAAAUUUUCAAAACUAGAGGAAGAAAUAGUCUCAGAAGGUUCUGGUAUGGAUUGCAUCAUUAGAUAUGACAGAGCAUUCUAUUACCUUCUGGAUAAAAGCAUAGAUAGAAGCAAAAUGACUUUUUUGAUCUAUGAAGUUAGCAGAAAUUUCAAGAAAGGUUUAGGUUGUAUGUAAAUUAUAAAACCUGACGAAAGUCAAAAGGUAAAACCAAAACCUCUCUAUGAGCAUUUCGUGUCUGCUGGCACUGAGCUUGAUGUUUCUGCACAGACAUGGAAACGUACAAAGGGUAAGAACUCAAUUCUGAAACCUAAGUAUCAUGCUAAAAUCCCAUGUUAUUAUCCUUCUACCCAAAGACCCAAAGUUGUAAGAAACUCUGGGAAAACUAACAAAAAAUGACCCAAAAAGUGGGUACCUAAGGAUAAAAUAAUUUAUGUUACAUACACCCUUAGCAGCUCAGUUAAAACUCCAGCCAUGGUACUUGGACAGUGGAUGCUCACGAAAUAUGACGAGUAGAAGGUCUAUGUUCUAAGAUUUGGAACUUAAUCCUGGAGGCUUCAUUGGUUUCGGAGGAAACCAAAAAGGAAAGAUCGUUGGCUCCGGAACUAUUGGUAAGGUAAACUUCCUUCUAUUACUAAUGUUCUUUUGGUCAAUGGUCUAAUGCGUAACCUAUUGUCUAUUAGUCAACUUAGUGACAAUGGUUAUGAUAUCAUUUUUAAUCAAAAAACCUUAUAAGGUUGUUAGUCAGAAAGAUGGUAUAGUCCUUUUUAACAGGAAGAGAAAGGAUAACAUUUAUAAAAUCAAACUUCCUGAUCUUGAGGAUCAAAAUGUAAAUGUCUAAUGUCUGUUAAUAAGGAGCAAUGGGUAUGGCACAAACGUUUGUGCCAUGUUAGCAUGAGAAGGAUUUCUCAUCUAAAUAAGCUUGGAUUAGUUAGAGGCUUAUCCAACCUUAAGUUCGCUUCAAAUGCUCUUUGUAAAGCAUGCCAGAAAGGCAAGUUUUCUAAAACAUCCUUCAAAGCAAAAAUUAUUAUUUCUACCUCUAGAUCGUUAGAACUUAUGUACAUUGAUUUGUUUGGACCAGUGAAAACUAUCUCUAUUAAUGGAAAGAAGGAUGGAUUGGUCAUCAUCGAUGACUAUAGUCGAUGGACCUGGGUAAAGUUCUUGAAACACAGGGAUGAGUCACAUUCUGUGUUCUCUACCUUCUGCUCACUAGUGCAAACAGAAAUGAAUUCCAAAAUAGUCAGAGUCAGAAGUGAUCAUGGUGGCGAAUUUGAAAAUAAACAUUAUGAAAAUAUUUUUGAUACAAAUGGUAUUUCCCAUGAUUUCCAAUGUCCUAAAACUCCACAACAAAAUGGAGUUGUAUAAAGGAAGAAUAGGACCAUGCAAGAAAUGGCUCGUACCAUGAUCCAAGAAACUGAUAUGGCUAAACAUUUUUGGGCAGAAGCAGUUAACACAGCUUGUUAUCAGAUGGAUGUUAAGAGUGCAUUCUUAAACGGAUACAUUUCUGAAGAGGUAUAUGUGCACCGACCUCAUGGUUUUGAAAGUUCUCAAAAUCUUGACUUUGUUUUAAACUGAAAAAGUUGUUAUAUGGUUGGAAACAAGCUCCCAGAACUUGGUAUGAUAGACUAAGUAACUUCCUUUUGGAAAAUGAUUUUACCAGAGGGAAAGUGUACACAACUCUCUUUUGAAAAACCUUUAAGAAUGAUAUUCUGGUUAUGCGAAUUUAUGUUGAUGAUAUUAUUUUUGGUUCUGUUAAUGCUUCAUUGUGCAAGGAUUUUGCUAAGUCAAUAUAGACAGAAUUUGAAAUGAAUCUGAUGGGAGAACUCAAGUUCUUUUUGGGAAUCCAGAUUUAUCAACGUUCAGAAGGAACGUACACUCAUUAGAGAAAAUAUACAAGGGAACUUCUGAAGAAGUUUAACUUGUCAGAAUGCAAGCAAGGAAAGACUCUAAUCCAUCCUAAAUGCAUUCUGGAGAAAGAAGAGGAAAGCAAUAAGGUAAAUCAGAAGCUAUCCAGAGAUAGGCUAUCUCCUUUAUCUAACCGCUUAUAGACUUGAUAUUUUAAUUAGUGUCUGCUUAUAUGCUCACCUCCAAUCAGAUCCUAGGGAGACUCACUUAACUAUUGUCAAGAGAAUCUUUAGGUAUCUGAAAGGUACUACUAACCUUGGUUUGUUUUAUAGAAAAUCAAGUGAAUAUAAAUUAGUAGGCUAUUGUGAUGCUGACUAUGGUGGAGACAUAAUAUAAAGGAAAAAUACUUCUGGAAGUUGUCAAUUUUGGGGAGACAAUCUGAUCUCAUGGUCCAACAAGAGACAAUUAACAAUUGCGUUUUCAACAGCUGAAGUUGGAUAUAUUACAGCUUUUGGAUGUAGCACUCAGAUACUCUAGAUGAAGAGUCAGCUGGAAGAUUAUCAGAUAUCUGAGAGAAACAUUCUUAUUCUCUAUGAUAAUACUUCUGCUAUCUGUUUGUCUAAAAUCCUAUCUUGCAUUCUAGGGCUAAGCAUAUUGAAAUUAAACAUCACUUUUUACGUGACUAUGUUCAGAAGGGUAUUUUUCACCUAAAAAUUGUUGAUACAAACCAUCAAUGGGAUGAUAUCUUUACAAACCCCCUUUCUGAAGAUAGAUUCCUUUUCACUCUGAAAAACUUGUUUAUGGAUUUAUGUCCAGAAUGAAAGAUGAAUUUUAGAAUGUUUAAGUCUUCAGAACUCUAGGUUAGAUUCUGAAAAUUUACUUGUUGAUUCUGAGACAUGAGCUUUCUGAAGUGAUAAAGUUUUAGGAAUCAGAAAGGUUCUGAUCAGAAGCAAUCUUAUCGGAUUGUCUUCCUGGUUCUGAACAGUUAUUGCAUUAAAUGUUUGUCAUGUCGUUUGAUAUCAUGUGGUUCUAAGUGGUGACAGUUGUCCCACUUUCUGAGCAUGUGUGAUGAUAGCUUGACACAUUGGGUUUCGCAAUUCUUGGAAUUAGGUUAAAAUCUUUUACGCUUCCCCCCAUGUCUGCAUAUUUUUAACUUGUCAUCAUUGCAAUUUUUUUCUAUAUAAACCCACUUCACUCACACUUUCACACUAUGCUCACAUUUACUCUCACAUCUUUCUCUCUUUCAAACCCUAAAUCACCCUCUCUGUAAUUUUUCUUCUUCUAUCAUCUUCAACAUCUUUCAUAUGGCUGAUAAAAAACAACCACAACAACAAGCUCAACCCCAACCUCAACCUUCUCAUCACUCAAUUGCUGAUAAGAACAUCCAUCCCUCAAAGGGAGAAACCAACGGUAGUAAUAACCCACCAGAUUACCCUAUCUUUAUGAAGAUCGAUCCUCCAUAUAUUUUGGCGUACUACAUGGAAAUUUGUCUCGAAGAUAAUUUUGAUCCGUUGAUGGAUCCCUUAAAUCUACAGGAUGACUACCCAGCUGUUUCGCCGCCUCCUCCUUCCCAAAACCCUUAGUUUUUUAAAAUAGUCUUCGCACAUGUGUGUGCUUUUUAUUUCUACCCAAGUGUGUGUGUGCCUUUUUAUGUUUGUACGAGUACUUGCCGCAUUUCUAUUAUGUUUUUCUUUGAAUUUCCGUCUUGUAAUUAAUUGUAUCUUUUCUACCUUUUGGCUCAUGUUUAAUGAAAAUCAUGUUUCUUUCUUUCAGUCACUUUUACUUUAUUUGUUUAUGUCUUUUUUAUUGAUGACAAAGGGGGAGAAACAUAUUUAAGGGGAAUAAUCAUAAUUGAUUUUGAUAUACCUAUAUUCAUAAAUGAAAACCCAGACAUUGUUUAAUGUUUCUGAUAACAACUACGUCGAAGAAUAUUUUGUUAAGUAUUUUGUAGGGAUAAGUUCAAACAUCAGAAGCUCUUUCUGAAGUUUCUCAUAUCAGAAUAUAAGUUACCAGUUUCUAAAGAAAUAGUUUACUCUCUAAAUCUGAAGCUUUAAACGAUGUUGAGAAAUUCAGAUCCAAGCAUUGAGUCUUCAAGGAAUUAAAAACCAGGCUCUGAACUUGGGGAACUUGACAUUAAGUUUUGAAGAAUUGAAAAUCCGACAUCAAGUUCCGAGGAAAUAUAAUUUCCAUAGUAAUCAGACUUGGCAAUCAAGCUUUUAAGGAGAAGCCCUAACCAGGUUCUGAAAGCUCUUUUCAAAGAGAUAUUCUUAAAGGUAACCAAGCUCUGAAAGAAAAUUUCGAAGAGAACCAGAAUUCAAGCUUCUGAAGAUAACCAAGAUCUAAAAAUUCUUCAAAAGAAUUCAACCAAGCUUCUAAAGUGAAGCUCAUUAGAAUGUUGAUGUUAACAAACCAAUGUUAUGGACAAUAUCAAGUAAUUUCUGAAGACAAACCAGAUUCUGGUGAAAGAUAAUUAUGGUACUUCAAAAAGGUUAAUCAGGAAAGUGCUCUUUCAUUUUGAUUUUAUCUUUUUAGGAUUAUACAUCUCAGGGGGAGCUUUCUGCUUCUGUAAGAUGUAUCCUUCUGUGAUUAUCCUAUACAAAAUUGUUCAUCAAAAUACAUGUUCUUGUCAUCAUAAAAAAGGGGGAGAUUGUUAUAACAAGAUUUGAUUCUGCAUCUAUACCUUGAGUUUUGAUGAUAACAAUGUUGUAUAUGUGUGAGAAUAAUUUUGGUACCCUAAUGGUUUAUUAUUGUGUAGCUUUAACAUCCAGUUUCGAUUUUGAGUAUAUGACAUGCAACGUCAUCAAUUUCUGAACAUUGUAUUCCAAAUUCUGCUUCUGCGCCAGUCAUGAGAAGUUCUGAAAGAUGUUCAAAGUUGUUGCUACAAUGAUCUUUCUCCUUCUAUGUUGAUUCACUCCUGAGAAGCAUCUGAGGAGACACUAUGUUGCUGCUACAACGUUCUCUUAGUGCUUUUGGACGUGACUCUUAUCGAUAAAUCUUCUGAAGAAUGACAAGCUUAUGAAAUUGUGUUACUUAGAUGAAGAUUCUGAAGAUCUCGAGCCAAAUGUUGAGGUUAUCAAGGUUCUGACUAUAGACUCUGAAGACUCUGAAGAUUCUGAAGAUCUCAAGCCAAACUACUGACACUGUCAAGGUUCUGACCGAAGAUUAUGAAGUUUCUGAAUCCAUCUUUAUGUUUCAUUAUUUCAUGCUUCAUCAACUUUCAUUAGAAACCAAUGAAGUUGAAGAUAAGAUCAAAUGGAUGUGUGAUCAAAUAGUUUAUAGUACAAAUCAAAUAUUCUUUCCACUACCUGAUUUCAUAGGCAAUGGUAGUACUAUACAUCACACAUGUCACUGAAUUUGUGGGCGAAGGAUAAUACACAAUAUCACUCCUUUCGCCAUCCAACAGUGAACAGUCGCUCUAUUUGGUUUCCCCAUUUCCCAUCCAACAAUCUUCUCUUUAUGCUAUAUAAGUGGGACUUUGAGACUUGAAGAAAAUACACAUAUAGAAGAAUACUGAAGCACUUCAAAACUUGACAAAGUUUAUUUGUGAAAAUCUACCAUUUUUCUAUAUAGUUUUUCUUUAAGUAUUUGUUUAUCAUUUGUUAAAAUCUGCUUGUGUAGAAGCAACUUGUAACACACAAAAUAAUAUUCAAACUAUUUGUUUGAUUCCUUAAGGAGACUAGGGUAUAGUUAGAUUCUUAAGAAGACAAAGAAAGUUAUUCUUUGUGAGUCCUUAAGGAGACUAGGUAUAGUCGGAUCCUUGAGAAGGCAAUGAAGGUUAUUCUUUAUGACUAUUGUAAUAAGUUGAUUAUAGUGGAUUAAGUCGUUGUGUAUAAGGCAAAAUCACCUUAGCGGAUGGACUGGAGUAGCUUUGAGUUUCAAGCGAACCAGGAUAAAAAUACUUGUGUUUUUAUCUCUUUGUUAUUAACAUUUUAGUGGUGUUCUUAAGUUGAGUAAAAUCUCUUGUUUUGUAAAACCUAAUUCAAACCCCCAUUUCUUGUGUUUUUCACACCUUCAGUAAAUCCCUUUUAAGAGGAGGUUACAGAAAAAGAAAGCAAGUAAAUGGCAUUGAAAAUUUAAUUGAAUUUCCAUUAAAUUACAACAUUUUAUAUUUUCCCUUAUGUCCUCUAGCCCUCAUUACUCUGCUUCUAGAGAUGAUGCUUGGAUUGUUCCCUUCCAUUUAAGUUUUAUGGUGGUGCGAGCUUGUAUGCUGCAGACUUAUGCCUUUGAAUAUUUUCUAACUUUUGCAUGAAUCUCUCCUUAGAGUUUCAGUUUAUCAAGAGAUUUACCCUAUUUUGAUUAAGCUUCCCUUUCAGGUUUUCGACUUACUGAGCUUAAUUUUAUUUAUCCCUAAUUUUUGCCAAAGUUUCCCUUGCGGGUUUUCAACUCACCGGGAUGCUCAUUUUUGCCUAAGCCGCUCUUUCAGGUUUUUGACUCAAUGAGCUUUAUUAUCUAUCUCUUUUUUAUUAGGCAUAAUACUUUUUGGUUGGGUUAGAGUUGAUGGGAUGUGUCAACUCUUAUCCAUCCAUAUUUAUGAGAACUAAAGCUCCACCAGAGAAAUCCUCCUUCACCAUAUAUGGUAUUUCGUAGUUAGGGAUCCAUUUUCCGCGAGGAUCUUUUUAGAGGGAGAUUAUUUUCUUCAGCACCAAGUCACCUACUCUGAACUCUCGAGUCGGACCUUCUUGUUGAAUUCCCUCUAUAGUCUUUUCUUAUACAAUUGCCCAUGGCAUAACACGAUCAUUCUCUUCUCUUCGAUCAGAUUGAGCUGGUCAAACUUGGUUUGCACCCAUUAUGCCUCUUCUAGUUCAGUCUCUAUUAGGAAUCUCAACUUCUAUUGGAAGCACUUCUUCCAUGCCAUUGACUAGAGAGAAAGGGGUUACCCCAGUUGAAGUACGAACGAAUAUUCUGUACCCGUGCAAAGCAAAAGGUAGCAUCCUGUGCUAGUCCUUAUAAGUCUUCACCAUUUUCUGAAUGAUCUUUUUGAUGUUUUUGUUAGUUGCUUAUACAUCGUCAUUCAUAUUUGGUAUGUAAGGUGAUGAGUUAUGAUGUUAAAUCCCGAAGCUAUCACACAACUCUCACAUCAUCUUAUUGUUCAGAUUCAACCCAUUAUCAAUGAUAAUCUUGCUAGGAGUCCUAUAAUGACAAAUUAUUUCCUUCUUGAUAAAUCGGGUAACUACUUACUUUGUCACGUUUGCAUAGGAAUCAACCUCUAACCACUUGGUGAAGUAAUCAAUGGCCACCAGGAUGAAACAAUGUUCAUUUAAAGCUUUCAGAUUGAUCAUUCCAAUCAUGUUUAGGCCCCACAUAGAGAAUGAUCAUGAUGCAGUUAAGACAUUCAGAGGAUUAGGUGGCAUGUGCACCUUAUCAGCAUAAGUCUGGAAUUUAUGGCACGUCCUGGCAUAAAGGAUACAAUCGGUUUCCAUCGUCAUCCAGUAGUAACCAUAUCUAAGAAUCCUCUUCGCCAUUGUAUGUCCGAUCCUCUUCGUCAUUGUAUAUCUGUUUGCUUGAAUUCCGAAAGAACCUUCAUGAAUUUAUUUGAUAAGCAUGUAUGUUUUGUGUUUUUCCACAACUUAUGGUUCUUCUCAUAGCUUGGGUAUGAAGUUUCCCUCACAACGUACCCAUAACCAAAAAGUUCAUAUCAAUAUACAAUAGUUGAAUAAUACAGUAAUAAAGCAUAUAAAGAUAAAUACGAGAAUACACAAACACAAACCAAACUAGGGUGGACUUGCUUAGGAAAUGUCCCCAGCAGAGUCGCCAACUGUCGUGGUGCAAAAAAUACCCGUGCGCAUCGCACACUUAAAAUACAACAGAGUCGCCACCGAAUUUUAUUUUCUCCAAAGGAACUUGAAAAUAUUGAUAAAACCCGUUUAAGCUAAGGUAAAUGGUCGUCGCAACCAAAAGCGGGUUCAGGAGUCAGUUAUGCAAGGGAAAGUUAUUAGCACCCCUCACAUCUGUUGUACUCAAGCGAUUCCAUUUAGUUAGUUAUGAGAAUGAGUAUUAGCGUGAUAUUUACUUGUUAAGCGAGAAAAGAUAAAGAAAGACAGGGUUUUUGGUUUUUAGUUUAAUGGGUUUGACGAGAUGAUCCCGCUCCUACGUAUCAUCUGCUACAAUGAGGAACUCAAGACCACGUAGUUCUAUGAAGAAAAUAUCGCGUUAGUUGAUUGAUUUUAAGGAGUGAUGCUUUAGACAUUUUGAGCGUUUAAACCUUUACUUGUUGCUCGCUCUCGGAGGUUGAAGUGUUUGUUUGUUUUGCAUCAAAAUGGAUAAAACAUACUCAUUUCUGAAAAUGGUUUUUGAAGUCACGCAAAGGCAAAAAAAUAAGUUUGAUUAGUUAAGUUGCAUUUAGGUGGAGACAUGCAUUCAAACAGGGAGUUCUACAACGGUAUUCAAACACCUGGGAAAGGAAGGGGCCUAAGCCUAAUCACUCUCUUUUUCAUCCAAAAUUUGUUAUGAAAACUUGUGGAGAAUUAAGUUAAAGUUCAUUAAUUGAGGAUGAUUAUUCACACAAGGAGCUCUACAAGAAUGUCCAAAUAAUCUGAGAAGGAGAAGGUCUAAACCCGGUGAAUCUUUUUCUUCUAUAGGAGAACAAACUUAUUUCGAAUAUUUUUUAUGUUUUAAAACGGAAGACGAAUGUUCGAACAUGUAGCUCUACAACAGUGUUCAAACACUCGGGGAAAGAAAAGGUUUAAAUCCAAUCAAUCAUUUUUCUUCCAAGUUGUUGUUAAAGGCUUUGGAAAUAAACUUGAUGUUUGAUCAAGUGUUGUAAGUUGACUAUGAAAAGAAUUUGAUGUAUUCGAAAUGGAUGCUUAACAUUGGAUCAAACACUCGCGUUAUGGAACAUGGUUUGAUUUAUGAAAAAUACUCAACGUUGGAUCGAGCGUUAUUUAUUCUUUUUUUUUGAAAUGGUUCAUUUUAUGUUAUUCUUGAUUAAUUCUAAAUUAAUAGACAAAAUAGAAGAAACUGCAAAAAUUAUUACAAACUAUGGGAGAGGGCACACUUUUAUCGAAUAGGAAUAAUAUGGAUAAAAAUAAAAUAGGCAAAAAUAAAAAUAAACCAAGUCAUACAAGAAUAAAACUAGGUCUAAAAAUAAAAAGAAAAAACAAAUCACAUGUUUAAAAAUAAAAUUAAUUAGUAAGGUCAACUAAAAUUAAUUAAUAUAAUUAAUCAACUUGCAUUAAUUAAUUAAACUAAGUAAUUCUAAUUAAUAUUAUAAAAAAACUAAUUGGAAAAACCCCAAAAACCUAAUUAUAAACCAAUUAUAUUAACAAAAACUAAUUAUAUAAAACUGAAUAUAAAUCUAAAAAAACUAAAGAAAAAAGUUGAAUUGGUCUAAAAAACAAACAAGCAGUCCAAGGUAGCCAAGGUGGGGGCGUUAUAGUCAGCAAAAAAAUAGGGGUGCGAAGGUAAUUGGGGUGCUGGUUGUAACACCCUAAAAACCCGCGUGAAAUUAUUAAAGAAUUUAAUUAAUGAAAUACAAUCACUUAGGGUGUCACUCAUAACAAUCAUAGUUUGCUCCGUAACACGGGUUACAACAACACAUUUUACUGCAUACACUUGCACUUAGGAUGUUUGCACGACAUCCAACUCAUUUGAAUAACUUCGCAGCGGAAUCAUAAUAAAAAAACAUACCAAUUUAAAAUCUCAUAAUAGUUUUCAUAACAAAAUUAAAAAUACUGACUCGUGAGUCUUCUCCAAGUGAUAUCACACCAAAACAUAAAACAAAUACGAGAACAUGCAUUGUCUCUCAAGAAAUUCCAUCAUAAAAUAAUUAAUUCGCUCCCUAGUUUUACAUAUCAGAGCAUAACCAAAGCUAACACGAAUAAACUAAAAGAAUUAGCUCUAUGAGCUAACUUCCACUCACAACAAUGUAUCUACUCUUGAGUAUCUGCACGAUGCCCAUGUAAAGGCAACAUUCAAACAGAAGGGGUGAGAAUUCAUUUAAAUAAUAACAACAUAAAAUUUAAAAUAGAGUAUAACAUCUACGCAAUCAUGCAUAAUAAUAUAUCACAUUCACAUGCCUAAAUUAUCAUCGACAUCACAUACAACAACACCAUCACCACACAUAGUCAUAUUUCACGCAUAUAUUUCAUUCAUGCUAUAUGACUCACUAUAAAGACAAGGACUCAUAUGCAUAUGGUACCAAUUCAAUAUUUGGUUCUUCUUACGAACCCGAUCCCCCCUUCGAAAUUCUGAACUCCCCCUUCUGAGUUUUGGAUAAGUCUCUCGUCCCCCUUAGGACCUAUGACUUAUCUUCUUCAACAUAUCAACAAUGAAUGUAUGACAUGGUAAUAAUUCAAUUAACACAACAAUUAUAAUAAUAUUUAGUGAUCCAUAAUCGAUCACACAAUUGCAACCAUGCAUAACGUAACUCACCCUUUUGGACUACCACCAAUGCAAUUAACACAACAAUUAUAAUAAUAUUUAAUGAUCUACAAUUGAUCACACAAUUUAAACCAUGUGUAACGUAAUCCACCAUUCUGAACUAUCACAAAUAUAAUCAAACACACCAUCUCAAUCAUUCACAAUACAUCAAAUAAUUUGUCAAUACGGACCUCGUCCAUAUUCAUCACUUCAUACAAUGUUUCCCACCUGCUACCAAACUUUUAUAAAAUUGUUAAAAACAUUUUAUCCUUAAAAUAAAUUUAUAUUCCUCAGUUUCAUUUACCCAACACUAUGGACCCCCUCCAAAAAUGAUUUACAGGUUGAAAGUUAUGAUCAAAAUCGUGCACAAAAGCAUUACCAACAAGUUGUUGUUUUCCUGAAAUUUUCAACACGAUUUUCAUCUUCUCCGACCCCAAAAUCAUCCAUGAAAUCGUCACCAAAAAUAUUUAACCCCUGAAACAAAGUUAUAGUCCUCUAUUUCAGCUAUCCAACGCUUCAAAUCCCGUCCCAAAAUGAUUUUAGAGUUAAAAGUUAUGAUCAAAAUCGUGCACGAAGGCGUUACCAAAAAGUUGUUGUUUUUCUGAAAUUUCCAGCACGAUUUUCAUCUUCUUCAACCCCAAAAACUUCCAUGAAAUCAUCACAAAAAAUAUUUCAUGGUUUUAAACUUAGUCAUAAACAUACAUGUAUGAAUCACUACUUAUAGUCAUAUAAUCAUGAAUCUAUAUACUAUAUCAAUCCCUAAAACCUUCAAACAUCAUCAAUAAUGAACAUACAUGGACACUUUAAAACAUAAAUUUCAUUCAACAAAUGUCAACAUUCAUCAUCAAUCCAAAAAGAAUUAAAUAUUCCUCUACCCAAUCAAAUUUCUAUCCUUACCUUGUAAUUCCACAAAAAUCCAAGCUUUUGACUACGACUUCUCUUCCCUAGAGUUCUCCUUAGAUUUUCCUUACUUUUCUCUUCUCUCGCCUCUUUUUCUCCAAUUCCAAAAGUUUCAACUCACUUCUCUCCUCAUAAAUCAAAAACUUAAUUUUUAUCUUUCUAAUAUUCCACUAAGGCUAAACUUAUUACUAACUUACAUUAUUUAUUUUAAUUCUCCACAUUUCGCACUUUCCACCCCAAACUCAUUAUUAUUAUUUUAUUUAAAUAAUAACACUAAACCAUUAUUUUAAUCAAUUAAAUAAUUCUAAAUAAAUCUACCGACCUCUAAUUACUCUUCACACUCUCUACCUAAGGGUCACUCACCCUUGUUGCCAUAAUAUAUCUCAAUUAUCACACAAAUAAUAAUUAGAUACAUAUAUUAAAUUAUAAUUAAUUAAUAUAAUUUUUUUUAGAAAAAUGGGGUGUUACACUGAGCCAAUGGUUAGAGGGCACAAAUAGUGAGUCAUGGUGUUGACUCAUAUGACAGUGGCCAUUAGAUGCACAUAUCAAGGUGAUCAAUAGGGUAAUCCAACGGUGAAAAGUCUGUGUGCACGAUAAGGAUCAUGGUGAAGCAUGCAAAUUGUAACAUACAUGUGUGGUCCUGCAUGGCCACCACAUGUCUUCUAUCUGAGAACCCAGGGACACACGGAAGAAGCAAAAUGCAGGAUGAGGACUCAUUUUGCCAUCUACACUCUUUCUCUUCUCUUUCACGUCUUAUCUCUUCUCUUCAGUUCUCUCAACACACUUUCCAAAAGUCUUACCUCUCUCUCCUCUCAUCCCAUCUUCGCCGACCAACCUCCGGCGUUGCACCACCACCAAACACAAAAAACCUAACAUGACCUCCCCGUUAAAUCUCUUCCUCCAUCCAAAACCAAAUUUCUUCACCUAGCUUCAACUCAAAAGUUGUGAAACAAAAACCCAACAUAAACUCACCACAAGAAUCGAUUCAAACACAACGAAGAAUAUUGGCAAUGGAACAAGGAAUCACAACACAAUCACAACGCAAAGAUAUUAUUAGAACACAUAUUAAAAUUCGCAGAUGCAAAACCCUAGGUUUACACAAGCAUUUAAUUCACAACAAUUGCAUUAAAAAAUCAAGAAGAAAGGAAAUUAAAACAUGAAGAAAGUACCAAAUGGAAAAGUCGAGUUCUCUGGUGACGCUCUGACGACAGGUAAUUUUGUUUCUUGCUUUAAAUCUCCUUCUACUCCUUAUGUGUGUAUGUUAUUCGUAUAAUUGUUGUUUUGUUACCGCUUUGUUGAUUGUUACUGUGUAUCCGAUGGUGAGUGUGGCUUAGCUCAGGUAUCAAUUAGAGUUUCAAUAUGAAACUCCAAUAACCUUAGAAGGAGAGCGUUGAGUGUUGGUAUUUUUGAGGGAUUUCAACAGAGUUUUUCUCAGUGCGGAGGGUAGAAUUCAGUCCUCUUCAAUGAAGCAAUGGUCAUGUUUUAUAAUGAGAUAUUGGGAAGUUCAUAUGUCGGUUUCCUUUCUUCAAACAUGUGAGAUCGUUAGAGGAUAUUGAGGGAGUGGGGAGUUAGAAUUUACUUGAAGCUUGAGAAAGUUGUGGAGCAGCGUUGCAUAGGUG